UACAGAGGGUGCAAGCGUUGUUCGGAAUUAUUGGGCGUAAAGGGCGCGUAGGCGGUGCGGUAAGUCUGCAGUGAAAUCUCUGGGCUCAACUCAGAGUCUGCUGUGGAAACUGCCGUGCUUGAGUGUGGGAGAGGUGAGUGGAAUUCCUGGUGUAGCGGUGAAAUGCGUAGAUAUCAGGAGGAACACCUGUGGCGAAAGCGGCUCACUGGACCAUAACUGACGCUGAUGCACGAAAGCUAGGGGAGCAAACAGG
rnacentral:rRNA from 1 species